CCUACGGGUGGCAGCAGUGAGGAAUAUUGGUCAAUGGGCGCGAGACUGAACCAGCCAAGUCGCGUGAGGGAAGACGGUCCUAUGGAUUGUAAACCUCUUUUGUCGGGGAGCAAAAGCCGCCACGCGUGGCGUUCCGAGAGUACCCGAAGAAAAAGCAUCGGCUAACUCCGUGCCAGCAGCCGCGGUAAUACGGGGGAUGCGAGCGUUAUCCGGAUUUAUUGGGUUUAAAGGGUGCGCAGGCGGAAUAUCAAGUCAGCGGUAAAAGUGCGGGGCUCAACCUCGUCGAGCCGUUGAAACUGGUUUUCUCGAGUGGGCGAGAAGUAUGCGGAAUGCGCGGUGUAGCGGUGAAAUGCAUAGAUAUCGCGCAGAACUCCGAUUGCGAAGGCAGCAUACCGGCGCUCAACUGACGCUCAGGCACGAAAGUGUGGGUAUCGAACAGGAUUAGAUACCCUAGUAGUC
rnacentral:rRNA from 1 species